rnacentral:rRNA from 1 species
UUGUUGGCAGGGUAAAAGCCUACCAAGGCAAUGAUCGGUAGCCGGCCUGAGAGGGCACACGGCCACACUGGCACUGAAACACGGGCCAGACUCCUACGGGAGGCAGCAGUGGGGAAUCUUGCACAAUGGGGGAAACCCUGAUGCAGCGACGCCGCGUGAGCGAUGAAGCCCUUCGGGGUGUAAAGCUCUUUCGGCAGGGAAGAUUAUGACGGUACCUGCAGAAGCAGCUGCGGCUAACUACGUGCCAGCAGCCGCGGUAAUACGUAGGCAGCAAGCGUUGUUCGGAGUUACUGGGCGUAAAGGGUGUGCAGGCGGUUCCCUAAGUUUGGUGUGAAAUCUCCCGGCUUAACCGGGAGGGUGCGCCGAAAACUGGAGGACUAGAGUGCGGGAUAGGAGAGUGGAAUUCCUGGUGUAGCGGUGAAAUGCGUAGAUAUCAGGAGGAACACCGGCGGUGUAGACGGCUCUCUGGACCGUAACUGACGCUGAGACACGAAAGCGUGGGUAGCAAACAGGAUUAGAUACCCUGGUAGUCCACGCCCUAAACGAUGCAUAUUUGGUGUGGGUGAUUCAGUUCAUCCGUGCCGGAGCUAACGCGUUAAAUAUGCCGCCUGGGGAGUACAGUCGCAAGGCUGAAACUCAAAGGAAUUGACG